rnacentral:rRNA from 1 species
AGUGAACGCUGGCGGUAGGCCUAACACAUGCAAGUCGAACGAGUGGCGGACGGGUUACGAAUAUAUUGGAUCCUACUCUGUCGUGGGGGAUAACGUAGGCAAACUUACGCUAAUACCGCAUACGAUUCAAUGAGCCGAUGCCGUAUUAGCUAGUUGGCGGGGUAAAGGCCCACCAAGGCGACGAUCCGUAGCUGGUCUGAGAGGAUGAUCAGCCACACUGGAAAUGAGACACGGUCCAGACUCCUACGGGAGGCAGCAGUGGGGAAUAUUGGACAAUGGGCGCAAGCCUGGUCCAGCCAUACCGCGUGGGUGAAGAAGGCCUUCGGGUUGUAAAGCCCUUUUGUUGGGAAAGCGGUACCCAAAGAAUAAGCACCGGCUAGCUUCGUGCGAGCGGCCGCGGUAAUAC